rnacentral:rRNA from 1 species
ACAUGCAAGUCGCACGAGAACGCUUCAGCUUGCUGGAGCUAGUAAAGUGGCGCACGGGUGAGUAACGCGUGGGUAAUCUACCUCCAAAUUGGGGAUAACAUUGCGAAAGCGAUGCUAAUACCGAAUAAUAUCUCAAAAACUUCGGCUUUUGAGAUCAAAGGUGGCCUCUCCAUGGAAGCUACUGUUAGGAGAUGAGCCCGCGUACCAUUAGCUUGUUGGUAGGGUAAUGGCCUACCAAGGCAACGAUGGUUAGCUGGUCUGAGAGGAUGAUCAGCCACACUGGAACUGACACACGGUCCAGACUCUUACGGGAGGCAGCAGUGAGGAAUUUUGCGCAAUGGGGGAAAACCCUGACGCAGCAACGCCGCGUGAGUGAUGAAGGCUUUCGGGUCGUAAAGCUCUGUCAAGUGGGAAGAACCUGCCCUGUGCUAAUAUCACCGGGCACUGACGGUACCACUGAAGGAAGCACCGGCUAACUCCGUG